rnacentral:rRNA from 1 species
UACGUAGGGGGCAAGCGUUGUCCGGAAUCAUUGGGCGUAAAGCGCGCGUAGGUGGCCCGGUAAGUCCGCUCUGAAAGUCAAAGGCUCAACCUUUGAAAGCGGGUGGAUACUGUCGGGCUAGAGUCCGGAAGAGGCGAGUGGAAUUCCUGGUGUAGCGGUGGAAUGCGCAGAUAUCAGGAGGAACACCAACGGCGAAGGCAGCUCGCUGGAACGGUACUGACACUAAGGCGCGAAAGCGUGGGGAGCGAACAGG